AAAUGAAGGAAGCAUGAUAAUGUGCACAGAAAUUGAAUUGGAUUUUUAGGUCUGCCAUCUCUGAUGUCUUUUGGUUUUGAUUUGGGGACAUGGUUCCGCAGUAAAACA